rnacentral:rRNA from 1 species
UGCCUCGGAUCAGGUAGGAAUACCCG